rnacentral:lncRNA from 1 species
GCGGUCUCUCCUCCCAGCAUUGUGGAUCCUUCAUCGCAACACGAGGGCGCUGUUCGAUCCAACGCUGGUGGCCACUCCUAUUUACCUCCCUCUCAUGCAAGCGUCCAGGUUUUCAAGAUAGAUGGUCCUCGCUUCAUCAAGCUAAACGAAGGAACUUGGCACGCUGGUCCUCUCUUUGGUGAUCGAGAUUCGAUGGUCUUCUACAACUUGGAGCUCAGUGACACCAACGUAAGAUCAUUCGAUCGAGCUUGUAUGACUUAUGUUUUCUCCCUUUUUAUGUUCUUUUUAUUUGCAGGUUGUGGAUCACACUACCCACGUGUUUGAGGACGACGUACUGAUCGAAGAUUGAGGUACAGAGCCUUGGCAUUUCAUGUGAUAUUCGAACGUGAUUUUUGUGCUAGGUGAUGGCGAGCUUAAACACUUUUUUGCGUGUCUAGAAAAGCAAAUGGUGGAAAUGAAACAAGUUCUUUGCGAGCUAAGAAUUUCAUGUCCCUUGCCAUCAAGUUGUCGAGGAGCUCCUUUUGUGCCUCGGGACAUUGACUAGUAGUUACAAAAGGAGGCUGAUGAUCCUGGUCGGAAGAAAAUUUACGAACGGGAUGACUCCCACAGACCAUGGCGUCAACUCCCUGGUAUAAAUCUUUCUUAAUUGAACUGUAACACUGUUAGAAUUCUGUGCAGGGUGCUGAUUAUGGUCGAAAGCCGCCUGCUUUCUGUCGAACACGAGCGAGCGGAUGUUGAGAGUAUUCAUGUAAUUUGCCUCCUGCCAGUCCAGCUCGCUACUUCCGCCAAGAACUCGGGUUCCCUCAGUCAACAGCAAGAUGGAAAUGUUCCAGAAGUCUUUCUUCUUGAUGUCGGUCACAAACUCGAGCGGUGGAUGAUAUCCUUUGAAAGGUUUUGCUGCUCCUGAAACUUCUUGUAUUUCACCUCUUCGUGGUUCUGAUUCUAAUAAUGUAACUUUCGUGACAGCGGAAAAGUACGAACUCUAUGCUUGGAAAGUUUCAAAACAGCGUAGUGGUGACCACAAUUUCAGAAAGGAGAUCUUCUAUGAAGUAAAGGAAGCUUUAUUUUUCAUGUUGAUUCAUGUUUUCUUUCCUAUUUAGCGUUCUGUUAGUGAAUUACAAUUGCGUAAGCGAAGUUGCUGCGAGUUCGGAUCUCCUAUGAAGUAAGCUUCUUCUUCUUUGGAUGUUGAUUGAUUUUUUUCUUUCUUUUUUUAGAGUUUACGUGAGCAAGUUGCUGAAACUGAAUUUGUAUUUUCUUCUUUACAGCAUGACACAUUCGAGGUAUGAUUUUUGGUUUUUUUUUGGAAAAGGUGAAGCUACAGCCUAUGUAAGUUCAAUAGGGCGCUGUUGACGAGCUCCUCGAGGCUUCUGGAAUGCUUGGUAAGUCCCACAAAACCCGAAAACGUUAAGAAGUUUUCUUCGUCUGAGGCAGUCGCUGACAUUGCUUCCAGGGACGUCUCCAUUUCACCGUCUUCUCUAAAACGUCGCAAGAACCUGGCGUCCUUUGCCAUCAAGCUGUUCAGAAGCUCUACGCUAUAUCGCCGGAUACGAUUCAAGCUCCUAGAAGGUGCUGUCUGGGAUAGAAGCUCUGUGAUUUUUUCGCAAAGCCGUUGUUCAAAGUUACGUGUGUCGAGCCAGGGGAUUAUGGCUGCUGCCAAACCGAUGGCUGCCUGCUGUUCCUUGUCUGUGGAUUCCAGCACCAUCUGGAUGAUGGGAGAUAUGGCUGCUCCAAGCUCCAACUUUUCUUCGUCGUUAAGCUCACCGCACAAGCUUCGCAAAAUUGUGGCUGCAUGGACUCCAAUUGGCUUGGUGAGCAUGUUGAUCAAGCUCUUGAGGGUCUUGCUAACGCCACCUUGGCUGUAGCUUUUGCGCCUGAGGAGCCUCGAGCAAUUGUUGGGACACUGGAGGACGAGCAAAAAUAUGGCUUCCCCGGCUCUCAUGGCGAUGCUCAACUGGUGGCUGUUCGGUGCGGUUUCUCUCGCAAAUAUGGCCAUCAAGCUUUGGAUAACUCCUCCAGUUGCACCAAUGCAAUCUCUAAGCUCGUCCUCGGUUGCUAACAGCUUGAUCACGUCUACUGCCAGGUCCUGUAGCUCCAAAUCUUCGAGAUUGCAUAUCCUUUGAAGACUUCUUACUGCUGACACUACCGACACUAUCUUCUUUCGCAGAGACCGUCCAGAAUCUCCUCCCGCGCCAGCCAAUGUCCUCAAAAGCUCGAGUGAUCGACGGAAUACUUUUCUCGACGUUCGUACUUCGAGGAAGUUCCAGUCUUCGUCUUGGAUAAACGCAACCAGGAUGGAGAUAAGUCCGCUGGUGUUACCGAUUCGCACGCAUGUCCUGUGGUCCACGGCUAGCCUGUUGAGGAUAGCGAGUCCGUAUCUCUGUUCUUCUGGCACUAUCUUCUCUCCUGCGGUUAAAAGGGAAAUGAUGGCUUCCAGGGAUCCAGGGAUAGCGGAAAUCCUGAAGCAGUUACUCCGGUGACGAAGCAGGUACUUGAUUACUAUCGUUGCAGCUUUCCUGAUUUCGGCCUCACUAAGAUCCUUCCAGGUGAUCAUCUCUAAGAGUCUCUCCACAACUCCACAACUACACAGGAGGAAGAAAGAAAAGGUAGAGAAGAAAGUGAAGAAGAAUCAAUGAAGAAGACGAAGAAAGGAGCUAAUUACUUCUGUCCGUGAAGAUGAGUGGAGAGAGCAACUUCAAAGAGCUAAAACUUUCACAUGACAAACGGUCAGACGAGAAACUGGAGCACUAGUGCUGCGAUUCCAGAUUGAUCAAUGUUGUUUGACAACAAUGAUCUGACACACACAAGACUGUUUUCUUCGUCUCGGUAGCGCCCUUUCUACUGUUGCACAACAAACUAUUGCACAGCCGUGGAAGGGAAUAAUAGUAUAUAGAAACCUGUUGUAUCUCGUACUCUUGCUCUAUAAAUUCUCCAUAAACUUAAAGCUUCUUCUUCCAGGCCUAGAGAAAAGUCGGCUUCAAACACACGGCAUGGCCAUCUUUUUGUGUGUACUGUGCAGAACUCUCCCUUUCAACCAGGUCUUAUAGUUUGCCACUUACUAAGCUUAGGUGGUGGGAAAGAAAAAACUGGAGUAGUGAUGUUUCUAUCUUAUACUUAAGAACCUUGUGUUGGCUCGAGGAGUAGUACUACGAAGUGGUGUAACAAACGCAAAGCUUGGACAGGGCAGAUUGCUACUGAACACUAUUGCCAUUGCCACAAGCCUCAAAUUUGCAGGGCAAACUUUCUUUUCCUUCUUGUGAAUAUUACAAUUUUCUUUCAUUGUGCAAGAUAAAAAUUAAGUUAUACCUCCCAAUAUAUAGAUAUUUAUAUAUAAAAAACUUUUUAAUACAACUAAUUCAAUUACACAAAAUCUUUGUUUGCUUUUUUUGAUGACAUGCAUCAUAAACAUGCCCCUAAUUGAUCUUGUUGUACUCAUUAUCACCAUUUAAAUAGAUGAAUAUCAAAUCAUUUAAAGUUUCAAUAUUUAAAUAGCAUUUUGAAGUAGUUUUUAACUGAUUUUGAUAAGAAAAUCCACCUUCAGCACAAGUAGUGCUCACAGGUAUCAAAGAGAUAAUUUUGCAUAAUUCUAUCAAAUUAAAACAUAUAUCUAUCAUGGAAAUAUCAUCUCUGCAUAUUUGCCAAGCGACUAGCUUAUUUUUUGUUAACAGAUUACUUUGCAUAAUAGUUACAAACUUUGUGAAUUCUCCUUUACAUUUUUCCCCAUCAACAAAAGCACCAUAUUAGUUCAGUAAAAUAUUUAGCCAUUUGUAAAAGUUGUUAUCCAAUUUUUCCUUAUCAUUUGAAUAAUUCUUUGGGCUGAACAGUUUUGUAGUAUUAAAUAUGCCUAUAUCUUUUCCCAUUCUAGCUAACAUAUCAAUGUAUAGUUUUUGAACACACUCCUUAUUUAAAUUUAAGUAAGAGCUUAAGCUCCCAUCUCCUUUGCUCUCUAGAAUAGAAGUAUAAUUUAAGACAUGCUUAUGUUAUUCCUUUUCAGCAUUUAUAAACUUGAUAAAUUCAUCUUUAGUAACCUCCACAAAAUUACUCAAGUGUUUCACACUAAGAGUCUCUUUCAGAAAUUUUCUUUUGAUACUUUUCAAAGUACCAUAUAAUUACCCAACAAUGCUAGCAAUAUCCACAGUUUCAACUUUAAAAGAUUUUGUUCAAACUAUUUAAUUCCAGAAGUAUAUUAGGUAGCAUAUGAAUAAAUGAUCAAUCUUUUUAAAACUUCCCCAUGAAAUAAUCAACGUACACUGUGGAUUUGAAGCAUACCUAAUGUAAAUAUAUUUAUAGCAUCUUCUAGAGGCCUAAAAGCCAUGACUCUUUUUCUAAAAGUAUGCAACCAUUUAUAAAUUUGAUUGCAUAGCUUUUGAACAAUCAUAAGUUUAAAAAAUGCAUGCACAACUUCAAUAGCCACUAAACUUUAUUUAUGUGUUAAGUAAUGCACUCCAAGCAAGUGUGGAAUGUUAUGUUUCAAUAUUGUCACUAGACCAAAUUAUUUUCCAACCAUAAUAAAAGCUCCAUCAGUUUCAAUAACAACACAUUUUCCCUUUUUAAAGUUCAUUUCUUCCAAAACCUUUUUGAUGGCUUCAUAUUUAUUUACAACCUUUAGUUACCAUCAAUUUGAAAAAGUAAGUUUUAUUCAGACUUUUUUCUUUUUCUUGCAUAUGGAAAGAGAUGUAUAUGAUAAGAUGAGAUUCCAAACUUUUAUCAGUAUUGUUAUCCACCAUAAUAGAAAAGUAAGGACUAGCUCAAAUAUUUUGGCAAACAUCUUUCCAUCACAUAUCUUUUUUGCAUUUUACAAACUUUUUUCCACUCAUAGCAUUCAUAUAAGCCUUAUACUCUAUGGUGAUUGGCAUAUAGGGCAUUUCUAUAAACCUAUUAAAUUCACACAAAGAUUUAUAGCUUUGUAAAGGUAAUCCUUUAUUCACAAUGAAGUACAUGUGUUGCAUUAAGGAAAUCAAUUUAUUUUUGUGUUGAUCUUUUUGAGCAGUAAUAUAUUUAAGGAUAGAUAACCCUUUCUUUUUUCUUUACUUCCCAAAUAACUAUAGCUAAUUGAUGUUAUUUGGAAUUAUUAUGCUAUUUUAAAAUUGGUUUUUGAAAAGUCAAAGAACCAUCCUUACCAAAAAAAUUAUACUUUUUAGCAUAUACAUAUAUCAUACAUUUUAUUUUUUAAUUGCCUUCAACAUCUAUCACAAGAUACACCCAAGGAAAACUAAGUUUCCACUCAAUUCUGAAUGUUUUAUUCUUUUUCCUCUUUUUAUUGGUUGUAGUAUUAGUUUCUUUUUCUGUUGUUGAAAGAUCUUCAUCCUCUGAUCUAAUUUUAAAUCCUUCACCAAAAAGGGAAUUAUAAAGCUUUUGCCUUGCAAUAUUUUGUUAAUUUAUAUUUUUUUUUUCCCUCUCAUAGGCAAUAGCAAAAAAUGCUUCAAUCCUAUGUUGUUGCUGUCACUAUCGCUGCUUUCCCAUUUGCCCUAGUCCUAAUCCAUGUCAACUUCAUUGAAUUCAGGUGGUUAGACAUCAGGAUAUUUUUACAAUAUUUUUAAUAAUAUUAGAUAGAAUAUUAUCUAUACUGCAAUGUAAGAAUUUUCUUUGCCCUGCAAGUGGCAACUAAAAUAUUUCUAUACUUCAUUAGUACAAAGUGAAAAUUGAACAUUUCUUUCAAAUAGCAAGGCAAAUUAGAAAUCAGUCUUCAAAUGCAAGGUAAACAUGCCUUUGCAGGGCUUUGCAGGGCUUUGUAGGGUGGAAAUUUGAGGCCUACAUUGUCUCCCUAAAUGUGAUUUGGGUGCCAUAGUUCUAAAGAGAUUGUUGCUAUAGAAGAGCUUACAAGGAUGUUGAGAUAUUGCUGUAAGUUCCUUCAUGCACUUCACAGUGAUAGUAAAUGCCUUGUGAUGGCAUCUUAAACUCGUACCAUGGCAUCUGCAUUGCCAGUUCAAAGAUUAAAUGGCCCACAACCAAGAACAAAGUGAAGAAAAUGAGAAAACUCUAAGAAUGUUGCUGUCCCCUUAAGUUUCUCUGGCCAUAAAUUCGCUGCUACAAUAGCUUAUGUCCUUUCUACGCUUUAAGUUUCAGUGCCCGUAGCGGAUAGAUGUCGUUUGGACACUGUUGACCACAAUUGACUAUCGUUGACCAAUGGACCGUUGACUUGGCUGACUAUGCUGGGUUCGAUUCCUGCGCUGGGCGAUAUUGCCAGGGCUAGGGUUCUUCGAUGGGGCUCAAGCUGCGAGCAGUGCCGAUCACGGAGGAUAAUUUCCGGCCUUGGCCAGCUCCUGGGAAAGAUCGGCGACGGAUGCGAGUAUGGAUCGGGAGACGCGCAGCUCAAUCUCGCGAAUGGGAUUCCCAGGUAGUGCAGGCAAAAUGUGGCCGAAAUUUCCAGCGGCUCGGUAGUGAUUGAGUGAGUGAUGGUUCCUUUGCGCAGAUUCUACCUCAUGGAGCUCAAGAAAACGGGGCUGCGAUUCAAAAGGAUAACGCAUCACGCCAGGGUCACGCAGUGUCUGGGAUCAGUGGGAGCUCAUCCUUGGUACAUGGCGGUCUCUCUUCCCAGCAUUGUGGAUCCUUCAUCGCAACACGAGGGCGCUGUUCGAUCCAACGCUGGUGGCCACUCCUAUUUACCUCCCUCUCAUGCAAGCGUCCAGGUUUUCAAGAUAGAUGGUCCUCGCUUCAUCAAGCUAAACGAAGGAACUUGGCACGCUGGUCCUCUCUUUGGCGAUCGAGAUUCGAUGGUCUUCUACAACUUGGAGCUCAGUGACACCAACGUAAAAUCAUUCGAUCGAGCUUGUAGUUACCAUGACUUAUGUUUUCUCCUUUUUCUUGUUGCAGGUUGUGGAUCACACUACCCACGUGUUUGAGGACGACGUAC